rnacentral:rRNA from 1 species
AACGAACGCUGGCGGCAGGCCUAACACAUGCAAGUCGAACGCCCUAGCAAUAGGGAGUGGCAGACGGGUGAGUAACGCGUGGGAACGUGCCUUUCGGUUCGGAAUAACUCAGGGAAACUUGAGCUAAUACCGGAUACGCCCUUCGGGGGAAAGAUUUAUUGCCGAAAGAUCGGCCCGCGUCCGAUUAGCUAGUUGGUGAGGUAAAGGCUCACCAAGGCGACGAUCGGUAGCUGGUCUGAGAGGAUGAUCAGCCACACUGGGACUGAGACACGGCCCAGACUCCUACGGGAGGCAGCAGUGGGGAAUAUUGGACAAUGGGCGCAAGCCUGAUCCAGCCAUGCCGCGUGAGUGAUGAAGGCCCUAGGGUUGUAAAGCUCUUUCGCCAGGGACGAUAAUGACGGUACCUGGAUAAGAAGCCCCGGCUAACUUCGUGCCAGCCGCCGCCGUAA